AGCUCCAAUAGCGUAUAUUAAAGUUGUUGCAGUUAAAAAGCUCGUAGUUGGAUUUUGGGUUCUAGUUCUGUCCGGUUCACGUCAUGUGUUAACUGGCAGGCUGGCCCUUCUUCUCGAGGCACAUAUGUGUACUUAACCGUGCGUAUAUGUUGUUCGGGACUUUUACCGUGAGAAAAUUAGAGUGUUCAAAGCAGGCCUUUGCUUGAAUAUUGCAGCAUGGAAUAAUGGAAUAGGAUCAUGAUUCUAUUUUGUUGGUUUCUAGAAUCAAGAUAAUGAUUAAUAGGGAUAGUUGGGGGCGUUAAUAUUUAGUUGUCAGAGGUGAAAUUCUUAGAUUUACAAAAGAUUAACUUCUGCGAAAGCAUUCGCCAAGGAUGUUUUCGUUAAUCAAGAACGAAAGUAC
rnacentral:rRNA from 1 species